rnacentral:rRNA from 1 species
CACGUAGGGUGCGAGCGUUGUCCGGAAUUAUUGGGCGUAAAGAGCUCGUAGGCGGUGUGUCGCGUCGGCCGUGAAAACCUGCAGCUUAACUGUGGGCGUGCGGUCGAUACGGGCAUCACUGGAGUUCGGCAGGGGGAGACUGGAAUUCCUGGUGUAGCGGUGAAAUGCGCAGAUAUCAGGAGGAACACCGGUGGCGAAGGCGGGGUCUCUGGGGCAACAACUGACGCUGAGGAGCGAAAAGCGUGGGGGAGCGAACAGG